CAGCCGCCGCGGGAAUACGGAGGGAGCUAGCGUUGUUCGGAAUUACUGGGCGUAAAGCGCGCGUAGGCGGUUACUCAAGUCAGAGGUGAAAGCCCGGGGCUCAACCCCGGAACUGCCUUUGAAACUAGGUGGCUAGAAUGUGGGAGAGGUCAGUGGAAUUCCGAGUGUAGAGGUGAAAUUCGUAGAUAUUCGGAAGAACACCAGUGGCGAAGGCGACUGACUGGACAAGUAUUGACGCUGAGGUGCGAAAGCGUGGGGAGCAAACAGGAUUAGAUACCCCGGUAGUCCCUGUCUCUUAUAC
rnacentral:rRNA from 1 species